UUAGGAUUUGAAAUUUUUAAAUUAAUAAUCUCUUGUUCUAAAUCAGAGAUUUUCUUUUGUAAAACUAAUUUCUCUUGUUGUAAAUUCUGGUUUGAUUCAUUUAAAAUCUUAAAAUUUUUUGUCAUACAUUCACAAUGAUCACAAAAUCUUGAAGAAUAAUCUAAAGGUUGAUCUGAAACAUUUUUUAAAGAAGGAGCAAUAAAAUAAUUUGCACCUAUAAAUUUUCUACAUUAUUCUAAUGCUUCUGAAAUUGAAUAAAAUCCUUUGUAAAGAGGAUUUGGAAAAUUCUUAAUACAAUCUGAAACUUCUAACCAGGUAUGAUAUAUUCCUGGAAGUCUUCCAUUUAAAACAACAUAACAUUUAAAUUGUUUAUGAUCUUGGCUAAAAUGUUCUGAAAGAGCAUUUAAACAUGCUAAAAAAUAUUUUUGAUCUUUUGGAUUCUUAUUAUAAGAAAUCCAUAAAUUGUCUAAAAUACAUUUUUCUGACUUUGUAACUGAAAUAUGAGAAAGUGUCUUGAAACUAAUAUUACUGUUAGGAAAACAGAGUAAUUCUAUAUUACCAAAUCUUAACUUAUCAUGAGUCUGUAGUAUAUUUGUCUGAGAAGUAGAACUACCAACAAUUGACAAUCCUGGUCUGGGACCUCUUGGUCUUUGCAUCUGCAAUAAGUAAUUAUUCAUAAUCUUUAUUUUUAAUUAUUCUACUUAAAAUAUCUGCAAUCUGAUUAUCACUACCUUUAAUAUGCUCAAAAUUAAUUACUAAUCCAGUAUUAGUAAUUCUAUCUAUGAAAUUUAACCAUCUUCUUCUAUUACUUCUUUUAUUUUCUAAUUUCAUUUUAUUAACAAAACUAACAAUUGCUUCACAAUCUGUUCUUAAAGUAAUUUCUUUUUUAGAAAUAAUAAACAAUUCAAAUGAAUCUAAUGCAUAGUUUACUGCAAGUAAUUCUAAA
rnacentral:lncRNA from 1 species